rnacentral:rRNA from 1 species
GGAUGCGAUCAUACCAGCACUAAAGCACCGGAUCCCAUCAGAACUCCGAAGUUAAGCGUCCUUGGGUGAGAGUAGUACUAGGAUGGGUGACCUCCUGGAAGUCCUCGUGUUGUAUUCC